AGCAAAAAAAUAGUUGUAAAUUUGAACAAUUUUAUUAACAAUAAACACCAUUGGUUUACUUACAUAGUUGGACCAUCUCUUUUCUUUUUCUCUUUUCUUCUUUAAAAAGAGUUCUACUGCCUUCUUUAUCUUCUUUCCUAUUUUUUGAAUAGGGUAGGUCAGCUUUGUGCACAUCAUAUAUAUAUUGAAGUUCAAAAUUGGACCAAACAUUUAUUGAUACAAAAAACUUUGAAGUUUCAAGAAUUUGGAGGAAAAGAAACUGCAAUUAAGGAUUCACUUCAUCAUUGUUACCUAAUAGCAUCCCAAGGCUGAUAUGUGCAGUA